rnacentral:rRNA from 1 species
AAUAUUCAAUAUUAUAUACCUUAUAUAAAAAUAUAUAUUAUUAUCCUUCAUUCAAAUAAUUAUAAUUUCUGAAAAGAAGUUCAAACAUUCUUUAAAAGAAAAAUUACUAUCCUUUAGUAUCAGGAAAUAUUUAAUUAAUUAAUUAUAUUAACUUUCCCGAAUUUAUAUGAUCUAUUCUAUAUAAUUUUAUGUGUUACAAUAUAUAAAUAAAAUUUACAAUAGUAAUUAAACGUUAUCCGAAUAUAAUGAUAUCUGGUUUUCUAAAAAGAAUUAAUCUCAAUUCAUAUACUAUAUUACAAUAUAUAAUAUAAGUAUUAACCACUUUUAAUAUAAAUUAAUAUUAAUAGUAUUUACAAUGUUUAAAAACCAAAUAUAAAUACUUAUUUUACUCUUCUAUUAGAAAAUAUUUAUAAUUUAUGAUAUAAUAAUAUUAUAAUUAGACUAUUCAAUAUAGAUACUCAACUCAUCUAAAAUUAAAUGACUGUUUAUCAAAAACAUUUCUACUAGCCUUUAUUAGUAGUAAGGUCUGCUCAAUGAAAAAUUAAAUAGCCGCAACCCGUGCUAAGGUAGCAUAAUCAUUUGUCUUUUAAAUAAGGACUAGAACAAAAGAUUUUACAUUUUAAUCUAUUUUCCAUAUAUAAGAUUUCAAAUUUUUCUUAAAUGUAAAAGGACAUUUAUUAUUAAGAAAGACGAUAAGACCCUAUUGAACUUAACUUCAGUUAAACUGGGGCAGUUAAUCAAUUAAUAUUUUCAAGAAAAUACAAAAUAUAUUAUCCAAUAUAAUUGAAUAAUUCAGUUACCAUAGGGAUAACAGCGUAAUUAUAUUUUAAAGCUCUCAUUUACAAUAUAGAUUGCAACCUCGAUGUUGAAUUAAUAACCUAAAUAAGGCAAGACUUAAUUAAAGGAGGUCUGUUCGACCUUUAAAAAAUUACAUGAUUUGAGUUCAGACCGGUAUAAGCCAGGUCGGUUUCCAUCUUCUAUAGUAGUUUCUUGUAGUACGAAAGGGCCCAAGAAUAUAAUUUAAUU